rnacentral:rRNA from 1 species
AUGGCUUCCCCCUCCCCGACGCCCUCGUCGGGCCGCCCGCACACCCAGCGUUGGCUAGAAUCGAGCCCGUCCUCCGCGGGAUCUGCCCGGGAGUGCUCUCCUCCCCCCUCCUACCGCGAGGUGCUCUGCGGUGCGGGCUGCUCGGCCGCAUCUCCCGCCGGUGAUGCCGUCUCGCCGCCGCUCGGCCCCUCGACUCCCCCGCCGGUCCGGGGCACGCCCGUGGGCCGGCACGACCCGCGCUCGGAGAUCCACCGCGUCAGGCCCCCGCCGCAUGUGCAUACGCCGCCGCAGGAGGGGGGCCGGCAGCUCGUCUCCGGACGCCCGCGCUCCCCGCGCCCGCGUCGCUGCCCCCGCUCCAGACCCCGCUCGCCCCCCGCCCCGGUCGCAGCCUCGCCGGCGGGCGCCGCCUCCCCCCGCUAUCUGGACCCCGGCCACCCCCGCAUCGACUGUCGCAAGGACAUGCGAUGCAAGCGCUGCAGGUUCUUCGGCCACAUCGCCAGGAACUGCACCUUGCCACGCCCCCCUCGCCGGACGGUGCUCUGGCUCCCGCCGCCAAGCGGCCGCGUGUCUCUUCUCCGCGACCUGCGAGCUCUUCCGCGUCCAGCGUCGACGGCCCCUGCCGCCCCGUGUCCUCCGGGCCGGCCCUGCCGCCGUCUUCGUCUCUGA